rnacentral:precursor_RNA from 10 species
GGCCAUACAUAUGGAUAUGCGUUAGACUUCUGUCAAGCAGAUUAAGUAUUGAUGACAAUCAGUUCAAUACUUAUUCCGCUUCUGGCAGAAGGCUCUCGCUGCUGAACUGCAGCAGCAGC